GACGAACGCUGGCGGCGUGCCUAAUACAUGCAAGUCGAACGCUGACUACUUUAGCUUGCUAGAGUAGAAGGAGUUGCGAACGGGUGAGUAACGCGUAGGUAACCUGCCUACUAGCGGGGGAUAACUAUUGGAAACGAUAGCUAAUACCGCAUAACAGCGUUUAACACAUGUUAGAUGCUUGAAAGAUGCAAUUGCAUCACUAGUAGAUGGACCUGCGUUGCAUUAGCUAGUUGGUGGGGUAAUGGCCCACCAAGGCGACGAUGCAUAGCCGACCUGAGAGGGUCAUCUGCCACACUGGGACUGAGACAAGGGCCAGACUCCGACGGGAGGCAGCAGUAGGGAAUCUUCCACAAUGGACGAAAGUCUGAUGGAGCAACGCCGCGUGAGUGAUGAAGGUUUUCGGAUCGUAAAACUCUGUUGUAAGAGAAGAAUGACAUUGAGAGUAACUGUUCAAUGUGUGACGGUAUCUUACCAGAAAGGAACGGCUAAAUACGUGCCAGCCGCCGCAGUAA
rnacentral:rRNA from 1 species